rnacentral:rRNA from 1 species
AGUGAACGCUGGCGGUAGGCCUAACACAUGCAAGUCGAACGGCAGCACAGUAAGAGCUUGCUCUUACGGGUGGCGAGUGGCGGACGGGUGAGGAAUACAUCGGAAUCUACUUUUUCGUGGGGGAUAACGUAGGGAAACUUACGCUACUACCGCAUACGACCUACGGGUGAAAGCAGGGGAUCUUCGGACCUUGCGCGAUUGAAUGAGCCGAUGUCGGAUUAGCUAGUUGGCGGGGUAAAGGCCCACCAAGGCGACGAUCCGUAGCUGGUCUGCGAGGAUGAACAGCCACACUGUAACGGAGACACGGUCCAGACUCCGACGGGAGGCAGCGGUGGGGAAUAUUGGACAAUGGGCGCAAGCCUGAUCCAGCCAUACCGCGUGGGUGAAGAAGGCCUUCGGGUUGUAGAGCCCUUUUGUUGGGAAAGAAAAGCAGCAGGUUAAUACCCCGCUGUUCUGACGGUACCCAAAGAAUAAGCACCGGCUAACUUCGUG